CCUACGGGAGGCAGCAGUGGGGAAUUUUGGACAAUGGGGGCAACCCUGAUCCAGCCAUGCCGCGUGAGUGAAGAAGGCCUUCGGGUUGUAAAGCUCUUUCAGCCGGGAAGAAAUCGUAUGGGUUAAUACCCUGUGCGGAUGACGGUACCGGAAUAAGAAGCACCGGCUAACUACGUGCCAGCAGCCGCGGUAAUACGUAGGGUGCGAGCGUUAAUCGGAAUUACUGGGCGUAAAGCGUGCGCAGGCGGUUUGUUAAGAUAGGCGUGAAAUCCCCGGGCUCAACCUGGGAACUGCGCUUAUGACUGGCAAGCUAGAGUACGGCAGAGGGGGGUGGAAUUCCACGUGUAGCAGUGAAAUGCGUAGAGAUGUGGAGGAACACCAAUGGCGAAGGCAGCCCCCUGGGUCGAUACUGACGCUCAUGCACGAAAGCGUGGGUAGCAAACAGGAUUAGAUACCCUGGUAGUCCACGCCCUAAACGAUGUCAACUAGGUGUUGGGAGGGUAAAACCUUUUAGUACCGGAGCUAACGCGUGAAGUUGACCGCUGGGGAGUCGGCCGCAGGUUAAAACNCAAAGGAUUGACGNNGAGAGNGCGAGACGACGACGAGGAGAG
rnacentral:rRNA from 1 species